AUGGAGCCGUUUGUUGGGAUGAGAUUUGAUACUCUCCAGGGUGCUAAGGAUCAUUACAAUGAUUAUGCUCUAAGGAUGGGUUUCUCUGUUAAGAUGAACACUUCAAGGAGGAAUGCUUAUACCAACAUAUUGGAGAAACAACAAUUUGCAUGUAACAAGUUUAGGAAGCCAAAAGAGGAUGAUGUAGGAGCUAAGUUGCCACCUGUGCUAGAUCUUAUACCAGACCCCAAACCUUUGGAUGAAGAAGAUGAAAUGGAAGAGUCCCAAUAUUCGAUGGAGAGGAGAGUGGAAAAAAGAAGAAUAAGAGGAAGCGCAAGAGAGAAAGGAUAA
rnacentral:rRNA from 1 species